ACGAAAACAAGGCUCCUUAUCGCGCCGUAAUUAUCGCGCGCCGUCAAGUUUUCUCUGACAAUAAUAGAGAAAUAUCGCGGUAUUUACGCUGCAAAAUGUCUAGCGCGAAGAUCAUCGAAAAUCCAGAAAUACCGGGAUUAGAAUGUUUUCUGCCGCCUCCUCCACCGCCUCCGCCGCCUCCGCCUCCGGUUACGACAUUGAAAAGCAACAACUUGGCAAUUACGACGGAGCAACAGCAACAACAACAACAACAACAACCUGUGACAAGAGAAUCGACGACGACCGGUUUAUCGACUAACGAAACAGCGGGAAAUCUAACAACGAUUCAAGCGGCAACCACAUCGUUUCCAAGCGUCCCUGUGCCAACAGCGUAUAUCAUGCAUCCGGCGAUGCAACCACAAACACCUGGACAGCCGACUACACCCUGGUGGGUACCAACGGAUUCCGAUACAUCGGACCUUUAUGCACAGUGGUACGACACGACCUACAAAGCGGCAGCUGCGGCAGUCGUAUCGCCGGCGAUACAAGUUUGCAGCAAGACCAAGAACAAGUAUUACAAACGCAAGAACGAGUUCAUCGAUCCCGCGGUAGACGCAGAGAAAGUUGCAAGCGCCCAGAGGGAACUGGCAGCAUUAAUGAAACCGCUGAAAUGCGAUCUGUGCAAUGCAGUUAUGAACUCCACGCUACAAGCUAAGUUACAUUACGAUGGAAAGCCGCAUCAGAAGAAGGUGUCUAUGUUUCUGAAUCAGAGUGUAAAGAAACAAAAGACCGAAGACGGCCAAGUCAGUAGCACGACCACCGACUGGCAAAACUAUUGUGAUAUUUGUAAGACGUGGUUCACGUCGCAAACGGAUGCGACGCAACACUACGCUGGUAAAAAACAUAUUAGAGCAGCGAACGGCGGACGUCGUGCGAGGCCGUCGAAGAAGUCGCAAAAUCAAAAUCAGUACAGUCAAAUAGAUCCCAGCGGCCGAUUCGGAAUGGCUUUUCAGGCGGAAGUGCAAUCUACACCGGCACAGCCGGUAGUACCUGACGGUACCAAUGCGGUACCUGCACCGGCAACGGCCUCCAUCUACACACCGCCACCUUAUCCAACGCCGUUGCGUUGCGAUCUCUGCGGUGUUUCGGCAAAUCGGCAGGAUCAAUUAGAAACGCACAAACGUGGUGCUAGGCACUUGAGAAUGCUCAGAUUGAACGGAUUGCCGGUUCCCGAGCCUGCUAGCGAGAGCGAGGCGACACCCGCUACUCCCGGACCUAUAGAUUAUUCCAUUUACCGAACACCAUCAGGUUGGCAAGGAUAGAAGAUGUACGGCUUCCGUGUACGAUGGGAGAGAAGCCCGAUUUCCAAGUUCUCGAAGAAAGGAAGAAACAAAGGGACAAAGGUGUGCGAAGUAAAUUUUAAACGAUAUUUCGCGGCGAUCGUCGUCGACUAAAGUCACCAGGAAUUCAAGUGCGGAACUUUGCGGAUGUGUAUGAGAACGCCCGCUGUCAUACCGCCGGCACGAUUGCGCAUGCGCGUGGCUUACACUUGACGGGCUCAAAAAAUCAAUGACCCCGCUCAGUCGUGGGUCCGUUUACAUCUUUCUCUGGACGAGCUAAGAAGACCGGGAAUAAAAUCAGAAAUCGGUUCGAGGAAACGCGCUGAACGUCGAUGAUCGCAGAAUCUAGCGGGCAACUGUGGCGAAAAUUUCAGGUAGGAGUGGGAAAGAAGCGAUGGAGGAAAAUGGACGGUAAGGGUGCAGCCCCGGUGGCGGCGCUGGUGUAUACCGGCCGAAUAGCGGUUCGGUGAAACCAGCCGAGCGACCUCGUCUCGUUUCGGCUCGCCGCGUUAGUUCGUGUUCUCUCGCAGCACACGACGGACGUAUACUAUUUCGCGACGGGUCUCGUGUUCUCUACUCGAGGGAGAAAAAAAAAAAAAGCUAAACUGUUAUACGCUACCGAAUCAGCGUGGAACACGUAAUUCAGUGAUUUACGUGUAAACGAAAAAACUGUGUCGCAAGUUGAGAAAGAGAGCGGAACGCGUGUCUCGCGAGAACGACACACGAGGUCGUAAGUGCUUCGACCGGCGAUAAAGUUUCGUUGUGACUUGUGCAAGGAAAGAAAAAAAAAAAGAGAAAAGUGGUGAACCAAAGGAAUGUGCGAAUAUAUAUCGUUCGCGUCGUGUAUAACAGUACCAGGCACGGUUUAACGGCGAGAAAAAGUCCGGUAAUCGAAUCGAUUUUAGGUAGAACGCGGUUCGGUGAAUUGUCAGGGGAGAGUAUAUACCUCUACCAUCGUAGCCGUCGUCGCGGUGCACCGUCCAUCCACCUUUCGCGUUGCCGCGAGUGCACGGGAUAAAAUGGCGCUUGCUUUCGUCCGUAUACCUCUAUCGACCAUGACAAACGAUUUAACGACGGAAUCGCGUCGACGCCAGUCACGACGUUUUUGAGCAGCCGAACGUUUCGCGGCAUCGCUUCCCCUCUUCGCCCCACCCUCUUGCCCCGUUUCGAUCGUUUUAACGCCUUUUUCUCUACGAAUCGAAGCGCUAACGUCACCGCCAGCCACGGGAUCGCGAUUCGAGGAAGACGACACUUUAACAACGAAGGAAGAAACGAUCUCGUACACCCGCGGCGUCCUUGGACUGGAAUUUCGAAAACAACGAGCUUCGAGCUGCGGAACGACACUCCUCGUUCGCGUUACGACGAGCCAGCCCGUGGAGCGUGGAGCGCGCGUCUAU